rnacentral:rRNA from 1 species
AACGAACGCUGGCGGCGUGCCUAACACAUGCAAGUCGAACGAGAAGUACGUAGCAAUACGUAUUGUAAAGUGGCGCACGGGUGAGUAACACGUGGGUAAUCUGCCCUUGAGUUUGGGAUAACCCCGCGAAAGCGGGGCUAAUACCGAAUAAGACCACGGGGACCAAAGUCCCUGAGGUAAAAGGUGGCCUCUAUUUAUAAGCUACCACUUGAGGAUGAGCCCGCGGCCCAUUAGCUAGUUGGCAGGGUAACGGCCUACCAAGGCGAUGAUGGGUAGCUGGUCUGAGAGGACGAUCAGCCACACUGGAACUGAGACACGGUCCAGACUCCUACGGGAGGCAG